UUAAUAGAAGCCAAAGUAGAGGCGUAUCACUGUUAAUGAUAUCAUUGGGUGCUCUCUCCUAUUAAG
rnacentral:tRNA from 1 species